rnacentral:lncRNA from 1 species
UUGCCCUUCUUCUUCGUUAUCCACUGAGGCGCGCGCGCGCGCGCGUGCACACAAAAACACACACACGUAACGUGCGCGUAGACCUUGUCGUUCGCUACGGAAUAGACGGAAAUAAGAAACGUAUCGAAUGAGUAUAUGCAAGAGAGGGAGAUAACCCGCACCUGCGCGUCACUGCGUGUCGUCUUCUCGUCUCUAUUGGAUUACUCUUCUAGUGCGCAAGUGUGUUUGUGUGUCCAUCAUUGUAUCUGUCUCUCUAUAAUAGUUGUCAACGUGUGUGUGUGUGUGUGUUCUAACUCCCCACUAUUUUGUUCGCUUUAUCCCCACCAUGGAAUGGUCCGACGAGCACCACUAACUGCCCCUUACCUGGUAUAUACCAACCCUUCUUCCCACCCUCAACACUCCUCAAAGCCCCUUCCUUCUUCUCUCUUAACGCUUUUGACGUUCCUACUAAUACUAUCACGCUAAAAUACGUGACUUUAGUCCGACCAUUUGCAUAGUUUGAGCCACCCACUACUACUUUACUACCAUUGGCCACCGAGUCGAUUAUCGUCGAGAACCCUUCCAGAGUAUACCAUGAGUACUAGAGGACUAGUGUGUCUGUCUGUCUGUGUGUUGUAUGUAUGCUGUGUGAAGAGCUUACACGCGGCUUGUUCGCAUAAUGGCCGACCCGAGUGACCACCACCACCACCACCAAACGCGAUACUUCGUCAGGAUUAUGUAAUUUGAAAGAGAGAGGGAGAGAAUGGGUUAGACAGCAGACAGAAAUAAAGAGAUAUGGACGAUGAGGAUGAUCAUAAACGAUGAUGAAGUCUCGGAACGUUAGUUGUGUGUGAGUGUGUAUAUUUCUGUCUGUCUUUUUUUCUGUGUAAAAAGCAGGAAACGAAAUGCUUUUUCCGCGUUUAAACGAUCGCAUAUAUAUAUAUAGGUGUUCCUUUUUUGUAGGAUGUUAUUUUUGGCGAGAGAGAGAGAAAGAGAGAGAGAGAGAGAUGUAUAUCGAUGAGUAAAUAAUUCAUUUCUCUGACGUUCAAGAUCAAAGAUAAUGGAUUUUUGUUUAUAAAUGUAUUUACCGUAUGUUCCUAUAUGAACGUCUAUAUAAGAAUUUGUUAUCAAUUAUAAAAUGUACAUUAUUUAAUCUUGGAAAUUAAAUUGAAGAAAAUUGUGUCUAAUGUUGAUAUCAUCGAUAUUAUAAAAUCAAAUAUUCUGUAAAGUACAUACACGCACACAUACUUUCUUUCUCUCUAGGUUAAAGAUAUCCGAAUUUGGCUUGGUGACAACUGUGUCGUGUGCAGUUGCUAAAAAAAGAGAAAGUUAAAGAAAACAAAAGCCUUGAAAACAGAUCGAUCAGCCAACAAAUUUUCUACUCCUGUGGGAAUAUAAUUGUGUAAUAAGAAAUACAAGAAAGAAAAAAGGAUGAAAAAGAAAGAGAGAGAGAGAGAGAGAGAGAGAGAAAGAAGAAAAACGAGGGUGAGAAGAAGCGCAACACGUGGCCCUCGGCGUGGCCUCGUUGAUGUUUCUGACGUCGUACUCGUUGUUGGUGUAGUAUAAAAGCGUGUUUAAAAGCGUAUUUAAAGGCGUGUAGUUGAUGUUCUAUGGAAACGCCAGCCAGGCUACGUUAAAAGGUCUUUAACUACUGCACACAUACACACAGAAACACGUGCAAAUAUGCACCUGCAUUUCAAUGUCACGGUUUUCUACUUGAGCUCGUAUAAACGACAAAAAUUCAGAUUCAGUUAAUUAGUGCGAAUGCAUUUUCUAAAAUAAUUAAACCUAUUGGCCUAACGAAAAGCUUAAAAUAUGUUUAAUUAUAAAACAAAGAAAUUUUAAGAAUUAGUCAAAUAUAUGAAUGUUUCCAUUAAAAAAUUGCAAUCAUUUGUGUUAUCUCUAUAUAUAUUUUUUGUAUGUGAACAGGUGUACCAAACGUGUAAAGUGUCUUACUUAAUGAAAUAUGCCAUUCUUUCAGAUAAUAUAAUGUCACACACUAUCGUAAGAUAUAGGAAUUAGUUGAAAAUCAUUCAUUUUCAUCGAUUUUGAAAUGAACGGAAUACAAAUUAGUUUAUCUUUUUAUUUUAUCGACUUUAUUCGUAUGGGUGCCUUUAUGGUGAUAUGCGUGAGCAAUGACGUCAGUGGAUUCCAAUUCCACUUCCAUCCCUAUAUCCUCCUCAUCCUCAUAUUUCCACCCAUCUCCCCAGUUCCUAGAACUUCGAUCGUUAGUAGAUAAAUAGUUGAAUAUUCCACGUACGAGUCACAGCAAAGAUUUCUACGCAA